rnacentral:rRNA from 1 species
UACGGGGGGGGCAAGCGUUGUUCGGAAUUACUGGGCGUAAAGGGCUCGUAGGCGGCCAACUAAGUCGGACGUGAAAUCCCCAGGCUCAACCUGGGAACUGCAUCCGAUACUGGAUGGCUUGAAUUCGGGAGAGGGAUGCAGAAUUCCAGGUGUAGCGGUGAAAUGCGUAGAUAUCUGGAGGAAUACCGGUGGCGAAGGCGGCAUCCUGGACCAACAUUGACGCUGAGGAGCGAAAGCCAGGGGAGCAAACGGG